CUUCCUCUCCUCGCUCAUUCUCCUAGUCUCAUUAACAAAGGGUUCAAUCCUUCUCAUUCUUAUAACACAUGAAAUCAGAUGAAGAGGGUUUCAAAAACCCCUCUCUUUCUAUGAUUAACAAAUGACUCAUUCUCACUCUUUCUUGAAAAAUUGGAAGAAUAUGCAUUUUAACUUAGGAUUUCAGAGGAAUGAGAAAGAUCUCCCUUCGAUGUCUUUGGAUAAGGUUUUGUGUGUCAAUUCCAUCCCUUUUCUUUCACUCUCCCAUGUUUUCUCUCGCUCUUCGUUUUCUUUAUUUUCCUCCAUAAAUUUUAAAUUCGCCGCCGCCCCAUUUCUCUGUUUUCUCUGUGUUUUUGUUUACCUAGAUCCUUAUCUCUUUUACCUAGAUCCAUGUUUUCGUUUGUUUAAUUCGUGUUACAUCAAACAUAGAUUGAUUCCAUUAUGUAUCUCAGUGAAAAUAUUUUUCAACCAUUUAAUCCGUGAAAGAAAGACAUUAUAUAUUGAUGAUUUUAAUAUAGAAACACUUUUGUUGGUAUCUGAUUUACAUUCUAUUUUGCAUCCUUCUUCUUUUCAUGUUCUACUAAGUAUUUAUAUGUUGACUGUUUUAAUUUUUUGAUUUCGAAUUCUUUUACAUCUAUGGUUAGUUGAUGAAAUUUUUAAUGGUUUUUGUUUGUUUUGUGUAGAUCUGUUGUCCAAGGAUCAUCAUAGUGACAACAAAUUCACUAUCAACACUUACUUACCUAUUGGAGUUGUGAGUUUAAUUGGAUUUAUUUUAUUUUGAAUUAUUUUUCAUUAUUUAGUCUGUUCAUUCAUUAUCAGCAGUUUGAUUUUCGGUUGGUUAUUGCAUUUAGAAAUCUGAGUUGUUUUGCAUUUUAGAUUCCCUUUAAGAGCUCAUGAUUAUUUGGGGUUCUUACACCAUCAUUUUAAAUAAUUAAUCUUUUUUUAUUGUUAUUGUUGAUAUUUGUAAAUAUAGUACUAAAUAUUUGUAUAUCGAAUAGUCCCACAUCGACUAUAUAAUGUAAUUAGUAAUAAUCUCUCUCUAUAUAAAAAAGUCUCUGUAGUGCUUUUCAAAACACACGGUUUAUUCAAAUGUCUCUUAGUCUCUUGUAUUUCAACAUGGUAUCUAGAGUCUGUUAAGAGGCAAUUCUUUCUUCGUCGUGCUUUACCAGUUGACCCACUGUCUUCUGGUGAUAAUUUUUUUUUGCAAACCGUGUCAUCACUCUGGUUUGCCUUCCACUUUUCAAAAUUCUCCGGUAACCUACCAGCAGAAACGCCUCUUUUGAUCCAGCCGUUCCUCACUUUUCAUCGGCAAAAACCUCCGUACGUGACAACACGUCCGACGACCGAUCCCGACAAUUUUUCACUGCUCCACUCUCCAUAGGGCAAUUGUUUCAGAUCCGAUACUCAUGGCCACUCCUCAUAAUUUUACGCCAAACUAUGAUGAUUUUCUCAAGUGGUAUCAGAAUUAUCAGAACUUAGAUUCUACUGCUUCGGUAGCACACACUGGUAAUUCAUCUGCUUUUCUCUCUCAAUCAUCUUCUCUUGGAUCUUGGGUCCUUGAUUCUGGUGCAUCUGAUCAUGUUACCGGUAGUAUUUUUUUUCUCUUCCCUCUAUACAUCUGGUUUCUUACCUACUAUAACUUCUGCCAAUGGUUCUCAAACCCGAUCCGAAGGGAUUGGUACUAUUCAAAUUUUACCUUCUCUCUCGGUUACUUCUGUCCUAUAUGUACCUAAUUGUCCAUUUAAUUUACUUUCAGUUAGUCGUUUAACUCGUUCUCUUGAUUGUAGUGUCUCCUUCACUAGCAAUAAUAUUACCCUACAGGAUCGGAGUUCGGGACGGACGAUUGAUGUCGGAUGUGAGUCUCAAGGUCUUUAUUAGCUCUCAGUGUCAUCUUAGACAUGCUCAGCCAAAGAUUUUCCACUCACUAUCCAUGCUCAGUUAGGUCACCCCAGUCUUUCCAAACUACAUAAGUUGGUGUCAAAUUUAUCGAAGGUAUCUAAUUUACAUUAUGAGUCGUGUCAUCUAAGGAAACACACUCGUGGUCAGUUUCCCAAUCGAGUCAAUAAACAAGCUUCGUCCCCUUUUGCUUUAGUUCACACCGAUGUUUGGGGUCCCUUGCGUAUUGUCUCUACUCUUGAGUUUAAGUAUUUUGUCAUCUUUAUUGAUGAUUUUUCACGUUGCACGUGGUUAUUUUUAAUGAAGAAUAGAUCUGAAUUAUUUUCUAUUUUUGAAUAAUUCUAUCAAGAAAUAAGAACUCAAUUCGGCGUGUCUAUCCGUACCUUAAGAAGUGACAAUGCCCGUGAAUAUUUAUCCCAACAAUUUCAUAAUUUUAUGUCACGCAAUGGUAUUCUUCAUCAGACAUCUUGCCCUCACACACCUCAACAAAACGGGGUAGCCGAACGCAAAAAUUGGCAUCUUGUAGAAACCACUCGGACCCUACUUCUCCAUGGUAAUGUUCCACUUCAGUUUUGGGGGGAUGUUGUGCUAACGACAUGUUACCUUAUAAAUCGCAUGCCCUCAUCUGUCCUUAACAAUAAAAUCCCUUAUUAAAUCCUUUUUCCAAAUUCCCCAUUUCACCCAAUUUCUCCCCGAGUCUUCGGAUCCACAUGUUUUGUACACAAUCUUUCUUCUGGUCAUGAUAAACUCUCAGCUCGAUCACUAAAGUGUGUCUUUCUUGGUUAUCAUCGACCCCAAAAAGAUUAUCAUUGUUAUUCACAUAUUUUACAAUGAUACCUAGUAUCGAUCGAUGUUACCUUCUUCGAGUCGGUUCCAUAUUUCGAGUCCAGUCACAUAACUCCAAAACCCAUUCAAGAAAGUACUCCCACAUCUUUUCCGAUAGUUAUUAAUGUCCCGCCUACCAUUAUCCCCCAUCAGUCUAGGGCUCUUGACCUACCCACUUCUCGACCACUUCAAACAUAUCAGUAUCGUCACCCAACGUCUGUCGCCCCUGUCACGGAGGUCAUACUUGUCCCUAAGGUCAUUGCAGACUCUCCUUAGACGCCUCCACCAUAACCGUAUCUGAUCUUGCAACCUGAGUCUGAUCUUCCGAUUGCCCUUCAAAAAGGUAUACUUCAAACACAAAAUCAUUCUCCAUAUUAUAUUGAUUUAUAUUAUCAUCGUAUUUCCCCUUUGCAGUAUACUUGUUUGUCUUCUUUGUCUUCUGUUUCUAUUCCUAACACUCCAGAUGAAGCAUUAUCUCACCCUGAGUGGAGGCAAGCAAUGAUUGAUAAAAUGUGUGCUCUUCAAAGCAGUGGUACCUGAGAACUGGUUCCUCUACUCCAUGGGAAAUCUUUAGUAGGUUGUUGUUGGCUUUAUACAGUGAAUAUUGGUCUAGAUGGUAAGAAUGAUCGAUUUAAAGCUCGCUUGGUAGCCAAAUGAUACACUCAAAUUUUUGGAUUAGAUUAUAGUGAUACCUUCUUGCCUGUAGCCAAUAUGGCAUCUGUUAGACUUCUUCUAGCCAUUGCAACCAUUCGACAUUGGCCUCUUCAUCAACUUGACAUCAAAAAUGCUUUUUUUUACAUGGUGAUCUUGAAGAAGAAGUAUAUAUGGAGCAACCACCUGGAUUUGUUGCUCAGGGGAAGUCAUCGAAUAUGGUGUGUAGGUUACACAUGUCUCUUUAUGGUCUUAAGCAAUCUCCGAGAGCUUGGUUCGGCAGAUUUAGCACUGUAGUACAACAGUUUGGUAUGGUCUGUAGUGAAGCUGACCAUUCUGUUUUUUAUUGUCACUCAGCCCAAGGGUGUAUUUAUCUUAUUGUGUAUGUAGAUGAUGUUGUCAUAACUUGUAGUGAUCAACAAGGUAUACUUCAGUUAAAGCAACGUCUCUCGAAUCAAUUUCAGACAAAAGAUCUUGGUAAACUUCGCCAUUUCUUGGGUAUUAAGGUAGCCCAAUCUAAAGAUAGUUUGGUGAUUUCUCAAUGAAAAUAUACUAUGGAUAUUUUGGAAGAAACAAGUUUGUUGAAUGCUAAACCAGCUGAUACUCCUAUGGAUCAGGGUGUCAAACUACUACCCAAUCAGGGGGAGCCUCUAUUUGAC
rnacentral:lncRNA from 1 species